UUUUCCUUUUUGCUAUCAUCUUCACUGUUGGGGCAUUGAAGCUUUGAAAGAGGAUGUGUCGGAAAAGAUGCUGUGGCUCAGGUUUCUGUUGUAUGGUAGAAAAGAUAGCUUUGUUAUUGUGGAGGAACCCUUACGUCUUUGCUAAUUCCUUCUUGGCAAUAUUUGGCUUUGGAUUCUCUGUGGGUUGUGGGAUUGGAUGUCUCUAAAGGCGAUUGCUUUAGAGAGGAUUGGAUUUUUGGAUUGCUUAAAAUAGUCAAGUGGUGCAAGGGCUUUGCGGUUAAACAUUUUGAUGGAGAUACAAGAUCUUGGUGUGAUAUCUCUCGCAAGAACACUUAAUUUCGUCACUUUGCAGAAGAAUAUAUGAGUUUCGGGGUGAAAGGAGUAAUUGAUUUGAUGAUCCACAGACCCAGUAUCGUCAAUUACUGAUCUACAAAUGAAAUUGUUUUAACGAACAAAUGAAUAUCUGUAAUCUCGUUCUGUAGUUGCUGUUUUUAAUGCUUUUUCUGGGUUUCUUAUGUGUGUCAAGAAACAUAAUUCAUUUGAUUACAAAGAGUUGCUUGUUUUUACCAUAAAGUGAUCCGGGCAUUUGUUUUGAAAUGUUCUUCAGUCCAUUAAUCUGAUUUAUUGGCAAA